AACAGGAUUAGAUACCCUGGUAGUCCACGCCGUAAACGAUGUCGAUUUGGAGGUUGUGCCCUUGAGGCGUGGCUUCCGGAGCUAACGCGUUAAAUCGACCGCCUGGGGAGUACGGCCGCAAGGUUAAAACUCAAAUGAAUUGACGGGGGCCCGCACAAGCGGUGGAGCAUGUGGUUUAAUUCGAUGCAACGCGAAGAACCUUACCUGGUCUUGACAUCCACAGAACUUUCCAGAGAUGGAUUGGUGCCUUCGGGAACUGUGAGACAGGUGCUGCAUGGCUGUCGUCAGCUCGUGUUGUGAAAUGUUGGGUUAAGUCCCGCAACGAGCGCAACCCUUAUCCUUUGUUGCCAGCGGUCCGGCCGGGAACUCAAAGGAGACUGCCAGUGAUAAACUGGAGGAAGGUGGGGAUGACGUCAAGUCAUCAUGGCCCUUACGACCAGGGCUACACACGUGCUACAAUGGCAUAUACAAAGAGAAGCGACCUCGCGAGAGCAAGCGGACCUCAUAAAGUAUGUCGUAGUCCGGAUUGGAGUCUGCAACUCGACUCCAUGAAGUCGGAAUCGCUAGUAAUCGUAGAUCAGAAUGCUACGGUGAAUACGUUCCCGGGCCUUGUACACACCGCCCGUCACACCAUGGGAGUGGGUUGCAAAAGAAGUAGGUAGCUUAACCUUCGGGAGGGCGCUUACCACUUUGUGAUUCAUGACUGGGAUGAAGUCGUAACAAGGUAACC
rnacentral:rRNA from 1 species